CCUACGGGUGGCAGCAGUGGGGAAUAUUGCACAAUGGGCGAAAGCCUGAUGCAGCGACGCCGCGUGAACGAUGAAGGCUUUCGAGUCGUAAAGUUCUGUCCUAGGGGACGAUAAUGACGGUACCCUAGGAGGAAGCCACGGCUAACUACGUGCCAGCAGCCGCGGUAAUACGUAGGUGGCAAGCGUUGUCCGGAUUUACUGGGUGUAAAGGGCGCGUAGGCGGGAAUGCAAGUCAGAUGUGAAAUCCAUGGGCUCAACCCAUGAACUGCAUUUGAAACUGUGUUUCUUGAGUGAUGGAGAGGCAGGCGGAAUUCCUAGUGUAGCGGUGAAAUGCGUAGAUAUUAGGAGGAACACCAGUGGCGAAGGCGGCCUGCUGGACAUCAACUGACGCUGAUGCGCGAAAGCGCGGGGAGCAAACAGGAUUAGAUACCCUUGUAGUC
rnacentral:rRNA from 1 species